rnacentral:rRNA from 1 species
GAUGAACGCCGGCGGCGUGCUUAACACAUGCGAGUCGAACGGAAAGGCUCCUGCUUGCAGGGGUACUCGAGUGGCGAACGGGUGAGUAACACGUGGGUGAUCUGCCCUGCACUUCGGGAUAAGCCUGGGAAACUGGGUCUAAUACCGGAUAGGACGAUGGUUUGGAUGCAAUGGUGGAAGUUUUUCGGUGUGGGAUGAGCUCGCGGCCUAUCAGCUUGUUGGUGGGGGAAUGGCCUACCAAGGCGUCGACGGGUAGCCGGCCUGAGAGGGUGUACGGCCACAUUGGGACUGAGAUACGGCCCAGACUCCUACGGGAGGCAGCAGUGGGGAAUAUUGCACAAUGGGCGCAAGCCUGAUGCAGCGACGCCGCGUGGGGGAUGACGGCCUUCGGGUUGUAAACUCCUUUCGCUAGGGACGAAGCGCAAGUGACGGUACCUGGAGAAGAAGCACCGGCUAACUACGU